rnacentral:rRNA from 1 species
AUUGAACGCUAGCGGGAUGCCUAACACAUGCAAGUCGAACGAGUGGCGGACGGGUGAGUAAUAUAUCGGAACGUGCCCAAUAGCGGGGGAUAACUACUGGAAAGGGUGGCUAAUACCGCAUACCAUCGGAGUGGCCGAUAUGGGAUUAGCUAGUUGGUGGGGUAAAGGCUCACCAAGGCAACGAUCCCUAGCUGGUUUGAGAGGAUGACCAGCCACACUGGAACUGAGACACGGCCCAGACUCCGACGGGAGGCAGCAGUGGGGAAUGUUGGACAAUGGGGGAAACCCUGAUCCAGCCAUGCCGCGUGUAUGAGAAGGCCUUCGGGUUGUAAAGUACUUUCGGCGGGGAAGCGUUAUCUGCAGAAUAAGCACCGGCUAACUACGUGCCAGCAGCCGCGGUAAUUC